rnacentral:rRNA from 1 species
UGGGGGAAUUUUGGACAAUGGGCGAAAGCCUGAUCCAGCAAUGCCGCGUGUGUGAAGAAGGCCUUCGGGUUGUAAAGCACUUUUGUCCGGAAAGAAAUCCUUGGCUCUAAUACAGUCGGGGGGAUGACGGUACCGGAAGAAUAAGCACCGGCUAACUACGUGCCAGCAGCCGCGGUAAUACGUAGGGUGCAAGCGUUAAUCGGAAUUACUGGGCGUAAGCGUGCGCAGGCGGUUUGCUAAGACCGAUGUGAAAUCCCCGGGCUCAACCUGGGAACUGCAUUGGUGACUGGCAGGCUAGAGUAUGGCAGAGGGGGGUAGAAUUCCACGUGUAGCAGUGAAAUGCGUAGAGAUGUGGAGGAAUACCGAUGGCGAAGGCAGCCCCCUGGGGCCAAUACUGACGCUCAUGCACGAAAGCGUGGGGGAGCAAACAGGAUUAGAUACCCUGGUAGUCCAGCGCCCUAAACGAUGUCAACUAGUUGUUGGGGAUUCAUUUCCUUAGUAACGUAGCUAACGCGUGAAGUUUGACCGCCUGGGGGAGUACGGUCGCAAGAUUAAAA